rnacentral:sRNA from 1 species
AUGGCGGAGUUAGUGAGGGUCGGUUGGACGGCGAGAGCCCUGCUCCUUACGAGUAUUUUGGGAAUAUGCUAACGCUACGAAAUAUUCGCGGUGCUACGAGGAAGCGGACCUCCUGUUACAGGCCGGGCAUUUGUUUCUUUGCGGCAAAACAUCGUCGUCCGAGGACAACGUUGAAAUAUUGGCGUUGUGCCUCGCAACGAGCAGCGUCCGAGGCGAUCCGCAUGAGAUCACCGUAAAACUUGUCGCGGGAGAUGGCCCAAAGUUCCGUGUGGACAGUGCCGUCUGCUCGUGCGUGGCGGGAUCAUCAGAAUGCUGCAAGCACGCUGUCGCCACGCUUCUUCACUGCAACAGAAAGGGAAUCCAGCAUCUCGAAGAUCUAAGCUGCACCGACAAGGAGUGCGCGUGGAAAAAGACCCCUGGAAAGGAGUUGUAUGGCGAUCCUGUGCCGUACAAGAUGUUCUGUCAUGUAAAGAAGCUCCGACCUACGCUGGAGCCUUCACCCGAGGCGCAGGCAGCUAUCCUCAAGCAGCUGACAGGCGCCUGCUUUAAUUCUGCGCUCGCCAAGCAUAGGAGGAGGAGGCGGGCUGAUCGGUCAUGCAGUGUCCCGGAACCGUCAAGGCUGGACGAGAAGUACAGGCAGGUCAUAGAGUGCGCCGAAGGCAGUGAUCUUUUGGCAAGGCUUGCCGCAGUUCCGGCCUCUCCUCCGGAAGGCUGCUCUUCUUUCUACGAUCAACAAGUCGCUGUCUCUGUUGAAACAGCCGCUGUCAUGCUUCGGGACACAAAAGAGAACAAGGCAGCCUGGAUGAUGGAACGUCGCUGCCGGAUCACAGGAACAACAUGCUACCCCCCUCUCUACCUACAAGUUGGGAAACUGGGAAAAGAAGGUGCGGUCCACAAUGCAGCCAUCAUUCCGUGGCAAUGCCGCAACGGCCCAUGGUCUACGAUACGAGCCAAAGGCACGGGAGAAGUAUGCAAAGACCCGACGAGUUGACAUUUUUACGUGUGGACUCGUUGUUUCGCCACAAAACCCCUGGCUCGGCUGCUCCCCUGAUGGCGUUGUGUUCGAGGGGUCGCGACCAGGCACGUUGAUCGAAAUCAAGUGUCCCAAGAAGGGAGAAAUGAUGACUGCAAAGGCACUCUUGGCCACCUGUGAUUUUCUGGAGACUGACGAGGCUGGUACCUACAGCCAAAAGAAGCGCCACACCUUCUAUGGGCAGAUGCAGCUGGGGAUGGUUCUUCUUGAUGUGAAGACCUGUGAUCUUGUUAUUUAUGCUAGCAUGGAUGAUUCAAUCGAGGUCAUAUGCGUGGAUUUCGAUGAAGCUUUCGUUUGGCCUCUCCUGACAACCGUAAAGAGAAUUUACUUUGAGCGUGUACUUCCAGUCCUAUGUUCGUCGGUAGAGUGAAAAACACGACUAGUCUGAUACUUGGUGCGGCAGCUGGUGUACUGUGUUGGACCGCUAGAGUGCAGUACUUUUCUUUGUUGUUUUUUUAGAGUGGGCUACAGGACAGAUUCAUUUUUUUUCUUUUUGCCAUCUUUUUUUGUGAGCAGUAGCAUAUUUGCAGUGAAGCAACAGUUUUGCCUCGUUAAAUAUUUUUCCUGUUGGCUUUGUCUCAAGAGUUGGUCACCUCCUGCAUUCUUCAGUAGGAAACUAUGUGUGCGAGUAUAGUUGGGAAAGAACUUGGCGCUUAUUUUUACUUUGAGGUCAGAAUGCAGAAUUCGCUCAAUACUGUCCUUUUAGAAGCUCUCAAACUUCUAGUUAUUUCUUCGGAUUGAUUAUUCCUCAGUAUUUAUUUCUGCUAACUUCAGAAGGAACUGUUGAUGUGGUACAUGAAGACGUAUGCAUGUGCUUGUUAUGUGAUAAAAUAAUUAUUUAUGAGAUAUACUACUAGCUCAAUUACGUUCAUGCUAUAAUUUAAAACUAAAGUGAAUGUUCUACGCUCAUCACCAUCUCGAGAAAAAGGAAGUUUUGUGGUCAUACGCUGUUCCUACCUUUUUCUAGAUUUAACUUUCAAAGGAGAACCGGUGCUUUCACAUUCUAAACAUGCAUGUUGAACAAAAUUACAAAAAUUUAUCCUAAACUCUUAAACAGGCAUCUUCAUUCACCGUGUAAAUUGUAGAAUUAGUACCUGUCUUCAACAAGUUGAAAUUUCCUUACUGUGAUGCUUGCAUGAAAGCAACUGUAUAGAAGUGUGCAAUAUUUUAUUAAUAAUAAAUCUACACAAAGAAA